CCGAGCCGUAUGCGGGGAAACUCGCACGUACGGUUCCUAGGGGGGGACAGGUCAGCAAUGACCUUCGUCCCUACCCUAC
rnacentral:ncRNA from 1 species